CGCGCGCUGGGCGCAGCGCAACCGGAACCUGUCCUUCCCCUAUCCAACCGCCCUGUUGGUAGCUAAGGGAAUCCUGCCCCCCGCCCCGGCGUCUGGCCGGAGAGGGUAGGGGAAGAGAGUAACUGAAACCUAUUGGAGGUUAGUUCGCCACUGGAAACUACCAAAGGGCCUUUCUUUUAUCCACCCCACUACCUCUGUGCAGCCUCACUUAACCUCACACCUCAGCUACUCAGAACAUCUAAGCCUUCAACAUUAACCAUCAGAAGACUUUCUCUAUCCAUUCUGAGACGUGGCACAAACAUGUCGUUUUUUCUGACAAUAUCCUGUUGUGACAUCUUCUCCUACUGAAGUUCAUCUGUGGAUAGAAGCAGCCUCAAGACUUCUCCAUACAUAUGGCAAAGAAGAUAAAGUGAAAGUGAAGUUGCUCACUGAUGUCUGACUCUUUGCAACCCAUGGACUGUAGCCCACCAAGCUCCUCCAUCCAUGGGAUUCUAGAGGCAAGAAUACUGGAGUGGGUUGUCAUUUCCUUCUCCAGAAAGAAGAUAAAACCCCUAGCUUAAUCUUGAAACAGUUACACUGAGAUAUGAACACCCAGAGAGAUUCACAGAGUUAUUUAGAGAAGAGAAGAGGGAGGAGAGAGAUAAAUGUGACCAGGAGUGGAAAAGGGGGAGUCAAAAGUGGAGAGAGUGAUUUAGCCAGUAAUGAAUUCCCUAAGUGCUCUCCAAGCCCAGAACACCUGGAGAGAUUCACAGUGUUAUGUAGAGAAUAGAAGAGGGAGGAAGGAGAUGCCAGCGACCUGGAGGAGAAAAGGGAGAGUCAGAAGGGGAGAGUGCAGUCAAGCCAGUAAUCAAAAUCCCUAAGUGAGAAUGGAUACUGAAGAUUACAUUCUUAAAGGUACAAAAUUGAUAACAAAUACCAAAAGCAAAGAUUAAAAACCUAGAAUAGAGGUUAGCUUCUCAAAAAUAUGAUAUACAAAUAUAAA
ensembl:lncRNA